GUUGUGGUUAAAAAGCUCGUAGUUGGAUCUCGGCGGACUGAGGGCGGUUUGCUUGCUAGUAUUACUGCCCUAUAGUCCGUAGUUUUGCCAGAGGUUUCGGGGUGCUCUUAAUCGAGUGUCCCGGGAUGCUGGCAGGUUUACUUUGAAAAAAUUAGAGUGCUCAAAGCAGGCUAUUACGCCUGAAUAUUCGUGCAUGGAAUAAUAGAAUAGGAAGUCGUUUCUAUUUUGUUGGUUUUCGGAAAUCGACUUAAUGAUUAAUAGGGACAGUCGGGGGCAUUUGUAUUCAAACGACAGAGGUGAAAUUCUUGGACCGUUUGAAGACAAACUACUGCGAAAGCAUUUGCCAAGAAUGUUUUCAUUAAUCAAGAACGAAAGUUAAAGGUUCGAAGGCGAUUAGAUACCGCCCUAGUUUUAACCAUU
rnacentral:rRNA from 1 species